rnacentral:tRNA from 1 species
GCUGGGCUACGUUAACUAA